rnacentral:rRNA from 1 species
GACGAACGCUGGCGGCGUGCUUAACACAUGCAAGUCGAACGGAAAGGCCUCUUUCGGGGGGUACUCGAGUGGCGAACGGGUGAGUAACACGUGAGUAACCUGCCCUUGACUUUGGGAUAACUUCAGGAAACUGGGGCUAAUACCGGAUAGGAGCUCCUGCUGCAUGGUGGGGGUUGGAAAGUUUCGGCGGUUGGGGAUGGACUCGCGGCUUAUCAGCUUGUUGGUGGGGUAGUGGCUUACCAAGGCUUUGACGGGUAGCCGGCCUGAGAGGGUGACCGGCCACAUUGGGACUGAGAUAAGGCCCAGACUCCUACGGGAGGCAGCAGUGGGGAAUAUUGCACAAGGGGUGGAAGCCUGAUGCAGCAACGCCGUGUGCGGGAUGACGGCCUUCGGGUUGUAAACCGCUUUCGCUCAUGACGAAGCUUUGUGUGACGGUAGUGGGUAAAGAAGCACCGGCUAACUACGUG